UGCCAGCAGCCGCGGUAAUACGAAGGGUGCAAGCGUUGUUCGGAUUUAUUGGGCGUAAAGCGCGCGCAGGCGGGAACAGAAGUCAGGUGUGAAAUCUCGGGGCCUAACCCCGAAACUGCGCCUGAAACUUUGUACCUAGAAUAUCGGAGAGGGAAGGGGAAUUUCUCAUGUAGGGGUAAAAUCCGUAGAGAUGAGAAGGAAGACUCGAGGCGAAGGCGCCUUCCUGGACGAUUAUUGACGCUGAGGCGCGAAAGCGUGGGGAGCAAACAGGAUUAGAUA
rnacentral:rRNA from 1 species